GGUCUUGUAGUCAACUAUGAUUUUAAAUUGCAAAUUUAAAGGUGGGCGUAGCUCUAAGGCUU
rnacentral:tRNA from 1 species